rnacentral:rRNA from 1 species
AUUGAACGCUGGCGGCAGGCCUAACACAUGCAAGUCGAGCGGCAGCGGGAAAGUAGCUUGCUACUUUUGCCGGCGAGCGGCGGACGGGUGAGUAAUGCCUGGGGAUCUGCCCAGUCGAGGGGGAUAACUACUGGAAACGGUAGCUAAUACCGCAUACGCCCUACGGGGGAAAGCAGGGGACCUUCGGGCCUUGCGCGAUUGGAUGGACCCAGGUGGGAUUAGCUAGUUGGUGAGGUAAUGGCUCACCAAGGCGACGAUCCCUAGCUGGUCUGAGAGGAUGAGCAGCCACAAUGGAACUGAGACACGGUCCAGACUCCUACGGGAGGCAGCAGUGGGGAAUAUUGCACAAUGGGGGAAACCCUGAUGCAGCCAUGCCGCGUGUGUGAAGAAGGCCUUCGGGUUGUAAAGCACUUUCAGCGAGGAGGAAAGGUUGGUAGCUAAUAACUGCCAGCUGUGACGUUACUCGCAGAAGAAGCACCGGCUAACUCCGUGCCAGCCGCCGCAGUAAUAC